UUAGAACAAUAUUAUGUCAAUUAUUAUGUCCGUGUCGAAGUGGAUAGAAGCCAGCUAGAUGAAUAAAAAUAGAAAUGAUUAAAAAUAAUAGCACCCGAAGUCUACUAUAUGUAAUUCGUUGCAUCUUCCAUAAGCUUCUCCGGUGAAGGGCUCCGGGACAAAGGCCCAUAUAGCCAAAGCAUCGCCUGAAAUCGCAAGUCCUCCUCCAUAAUUUCCAAGUUUUUGCUUCUAA
rnacentral:lncRNA from 1 species